CAUGCCAAACUCUGCCAGUGCUUUAAAGUCUCCUCCAGGAGCAGGGACUGCCCCCAGUGAUGACACAUGCAUGGCUGGUUCUCCCAUACUUUACCAAGAGCAUCUUGAGACUUUCCUUAACUUUUCAGCCUCCCUCUCCAUUUCAGCAUUUCAGACGAGUGCAGAAAUCAGCCAGCACCUUUCUUCCCCUAUUUGUGCUGUGAAAGCAGCAACAUCUUCCCUGUAUUUGGCUUCCUUGCCUUCAACCAGUCACUAAUUUACAGAAAGACCUUUCAUCAGGACAACGCUUCAUGUGUUUACAAGCAUUUGAGGAAUCUUCUAUAAAUGAAAUUUCAUCCAGUCCUUCAGCAUCAGCUGGAGCAGGAAGUCUUGUUACAUGUGUCUAACUACUGUCAAAUACAAGGUCAGGAGAAAAAGA